rnacentral:hammerhead_ribozyme from 1 species
AUUCAGCUGACGAGUCCCAAAUACAACGAAACACGCGUCCUGGAU